UACAGAGGGUGCAAGCGUUAAUCGGAGUUACUGGGCGUAAAGGGCGCGUAGGUGGUUAUACAAGUAAGAUGUGAAAUCCCUGGGCUUAACCUAGGAAUUGCAUUUUAGACUGUAUAGCUGGAGUGCAGUAGAGGGUAGUGGAAUUUCCGGUGUAGCGGUGAAAUGCGUAGAGAUCGGAAGGAACACCAGUGGCGAAGGCGACUACCUGGACUGCAACUGACACUGAGGCGCGAAAGCGUGGGGAGCAAACAGGAUUAGAUACCCUGGUAGUCCACGCUGUAAACGAUGAGAACUAGAUGUUGGUCUGCGCGAGCGGAUUAGUAUCGAAGCAAACGCGAUAAGUUCUCCGCCUGGGGAGUACGGCCGCAAGGUUAAA
rnacentral:rRNA from 1 species